AUUGAACGCUAGCGGGAUGCUUUACACAUGCAAGUCGAACGGCAGCGCGGACUUCGGUCUGGCGGCGAGUGGCGAACGGGUGAGUAAUGUAUCGGAACGUGCCCAGUAGCGGGGGAUAACUACGCGAAAGCGUAGCUAAUACCGCAUACGCCCUACGGGGGAAAGCAGGGGAUCGUAAGACCUUGCACUAUUGGAGCGGCCGAUAUCGGCUUAGCUAGUUGGUGAGGUAACGGCUCACCAAGGCGACGAUCCGUAGCUGGUUUGAGAGGACGACCAGCCACACUGGGACUGAGACACGGCCCAGACUCCUACGGGAGGCAGCAGUGGGGAAUUGUGGACAAUGGGGGCAACCCUGAUCCAGCCAUCCCGCGUGUGCGAUGAAGGCCUUCGGGUUGUAAAGCACUUUUGGCAGGAAAGAAACGUCGCGGGCUAAUACCCCGUGGAACUGACGGUACCUGCAGAAUAAGCACCGGCUAACUACGUG
rnacentral:rRNA from 1 species